rnacentral:rRNA from 1 species
UAGGGAAUCUUCCGCAAUGGACGCAAGUCUGACGGAGCAACGCCGCGUGAGUGAAGAAGGUCUUCGGAUCGUAAAGCUCUGUUGUUAGAGAAGAACAGCGCAUAGAGUAACUGCUAUGCGUGUGACGGUAUCUAACCAGAAAGCCACGGCUAACUACGUGCCAGCAGCCGCGGUAAUACGUAGGUGGCGAGCGUUGUCCGGAUUUAUUGGGCGUAAAGGGAGUGUAGGCGGUCUUUUAAGUCUGAUGUGAAAGCCCACGGCUCAACCGUGGAGGGUCAUUGGAAACUGGGAGACUUGAGUGCAGAAGAGGAGAGCGGAAUUCCAUGUGUAGCGGUGAAAUGCGUAGAUAUAUGGAGGAACACCAGUGGCGAAGGCGGCUCUCUGGUCUGUAACUGACGCUGAGGCUCGAAAGCGUGGGGAGCAAACAGGAUUAGAUACCCCCGUAGUCC